AUUAUUUUAAUGAAUUUGUUAUCCAAAAUUAGUUUGGAUCAAUUUUAAGGGCACCUCCAUCAAAAGUAUCUAGAAGAGAUACUUAUUAUUAAAAUAAUACAAAGUGGUGAAAAAGAAGAGAGAGAAUUGAGAAUCGUCUCUGUUUUCAGAAACUUUGAGAGACGUUUCUGGCCAACUCGUUUUUCAGGAAUGGUUGAUUUUAUUUUU
rnacentral:sRNA from 1 species